UAAGACACCAAUAAAAGCUGCACCAACGAGCUGCAAAAGCAGCAUUAAUGGGCAUUCUGAUUCUUACUGUAGCUGUAAAGUUUGACUUCUUUGUGCUAUUCCCAUAUCAAAUGUAAUGUAUGUAAUAACUUCAUAUGUAA